rnacentral:rRNA from 1 species
UACAGGGGGGGGCAAGCGUUGUUCGGAAUUACUGGGCGUAAAGGGCCAGUAGGCGGCCAACUAAGUCACACGUGAAAUCCCCAGGCUUAACCUGGGAACUGCGUGUGAUACUGGAUGGCUUGAAUUCGGGAGAGGGAUGCAGAAUUCCAGGUGUAGCGGUGAAAUGCGUAGAUAUCUGGAGGAAUACCGGUGGCGAAGGCAGCCCCCUGGGCCAAUACUGACGCUCAUGCACGAAAGCGUGGGGAGCAAACAGG